GAGAGACACACACGCACACACACACACACAGAGAAUGCCACCUCGUCAAUGACAAGCUGUUCCAAUCACACAGCUCGGACACCAAGCGGACCGGACAACGGACAGCCCAGGCCUCCUCCCUCUGACUGGGAGGAAGCCAACUCAGCACGUCUGGGGAAGUGAUCCCCCACGGCAAGCCCCCCACUCACCCUCCAUAUUUGAUCUGACAGCAGUGCUCUAUCCUGGCCGGUAGGCUUCCCUGCAACCAGCUCCCACAACUCUGACCAACUACCCUCCUGGCCUUCAGGUGAGGCACUGCUCUCUCUCCUGUCGCAAAGCACAAGGAAACCCCAAACCAAGCAGGAGACCACCGGCGCACCACUUCUCCAGAGGACCAGACAGAGUGAGCUGAAAACCAAGUACUCACUGUGGUGAAGUCUUGGUGGCCGCACUCCUGCCCUUUGAACUUGCAGUAGAGCAUCAUAUCCUUCAGGUCAUGGCCCACACGGUGCAGGAACUCCAGCAUGCUGAACUGCUUGGGUUUGUAGUGCUUGAAGUUGGCCUUCUGCCGCAGGGCCUCCAGCACUGAGGGGUCAGCCAGAUGGGGGUCCGGGAUCUGCAGGUUGACAUCCAGCAGGGCCAGCAGCUCCCCAGCAUGGUACAGGUCAUUGGUAGUGAGCCUGGAGAACCGGAAGCCAUUGAGGUUACAGAGGGUCACAGCUGGGAAGACCAGGCUUUGAGCCACCACUUCAUCCACCUUGGUGACGUGCUGGUAGGAGAAGUAGUAGGACACCCUCUCAGAGCUCUCCACCAGCAGCAGGCCCAGAGAGCCCAUGAAGGCCACUGCCCACAGCACACGCCGGAUGGUCAGCGGCCCAUACACGAAGAUGUGGCGGAUGCCAUGGAGGGUGGAGGUGUUGGCAAAGAUCUGGAUGCUAGAAGGUUGCAGGCUGCCCUCACUGGGGCUCUCCUUGAGGUCCAUCGGGACCCUGUGCAGUUCUGCAACUGGCUUCAGGUUGAUCGAAUUUCAGAGAAGAGUUCUCAGUCCUCGGACUCUGCUUAAACCUGGACGUUCAGGGGAGAGAACGCAAGGCAAGCAUCAGGCCAGACGCUGUGAGUUUAUCCUGAGAGCCCAGCCGCACGCUGACAGGGCUCCAGGCCCUCUGCUACAGGAAGACUUCUUGGAUUAAUCUGCUAAUCUUCAGCUCAUCCACCUGUUUAAUAGGCAAAACCUACAGAACCAGUCAACACUGAGUGGACCUCUGGGGCUCCCAGCUGCCAAUUGACCUGAACCCCAGAGUGAACUUGUGUUGCUUUGUGGCUUCAGGAAACCUUGUAACAUCUCUGUGGUGUUUUUUCAUUUGUGCUCAAUCAUUCCUGAGGCCUCCUCCUCCUGCUGCAAUUUGACAAGCCUUGACCAAAUCAUUAACUCCCAGUUAAUGGGAUAAAAAUGAGUUUGAAUCUGGGAUUCUGGUCAUUAACGCCAUGUCACCAUCUGCUCCAGCAGUUUGAUGGCAGGGCUAGGUGAAUUCUAAUCACCCAACACUUGUUAAACUGCUGAUUCCUGCUUCCCCACCUCUGCUGACUCAGCAUCUCUGGGGCGGGGCCUGCAAAGGCUCUCUUCCUUGACCGGGUUAUUGAGGGCAGCUCUAGGAACACACCCAGGACCAGACCUGAUGAGGAGUUCCUCCUAUGCAUCAGUCUACUUCUGUCCCUCUUUCCCCUGGGAAGGAAAAAUAGAAGAAAGAAGCCAUCUCUGUUUGCUUUCUCUCUGUCACUCAAUCUCUGGAGCCAACUGCUUCACAAAUGAAGAGAAGUGCACAGAGAGUCCCUGAAGCCCACCAUCAACAGACAGGCUUUCAACAAAACUGUAUCAGCACCGCCUUGGCCGUAGCUACACUCUACAGAAAACCGGAGAGAGGAACAGUGCUAGAGAAAUUUGUCCUUGCCUGGUUCCUGGGUGGAACUUCCUCUCCCCCUUGUGUUCUACGAGUGUGGUUACAGCUGCCUCUGAUCUUUGGUGACCAGCGGUUGGCAGUGGUGGUAUUUCAGCAUACCUUGAUCAUCGUGCUUAUUACACAGCCUCCUUUAUUCAUCAACCCCACCUACCUUCUUCUAGCCAUGCCCUCCACCUCCUCCCAUCUCUAUCCAUCUCUUCGCUCUUUUAAAAAAUACUUAAGUGUGUACAGAUCACAGUGACUUCAUUUGUGUGCCCAUUCACAUUUGAUGACUUCCAUAUCCCCCAUACAAGUAGCUGUGUAUUCGUUUUAAUUCACUUUAUUUAUUUCCUAGCUCUUUCAUAAAAUAAAAUGAAAUAUAAGUAAUGAAAUGGGAAUAAAAAAGAGAAAAAUCGAAUUGAGGGGGAAAAGGACAAAUGCAUCUAUGUUUGUGAUCGCGUUCAUCUUUCUCCAUGCAUCAAUAUGCAUACUAUUAUUAAUUCAUUACACAUAUUUUAACAUGUAGGCACUACAUGGGGAUGUGGUGUCUACAUACCACCUCUAUAGUGGUAGGCGCUGCAAAGGGACAUACAAAAGGUAAAAAGCAUAGUCUCUACUCUCAUAGGACUUUUCAUCUCAUGGAUGUGGCACUCAUAAUGUCUUUUAUCUGUGUCCCACUUGAUGUGAAACUCUUUAGUAGGCAUGAUCCUAUUUGAUUUCCAUAAGCAGUAGAGGGGUCACUGUUUCCAUGUUAUGAGACAGGAAACUGAGGUUCAGAGAGUGAAAGGACCCUGAUGAGAUAAUAAAUGGAACUGGGGCUCAAAUCCUGGUUUCCCAACUCAACAUUUCACAUUCUUUCUACUCUGUCAUUAUUCAUUAGUCAAGUUUCUCCACAGACAACUCACUGAGCCACAACAUAUGAAGCAACAUGGUAAUGCCACUAGAUUAGUCAUGAUCAGAAGAUGUGGCCCCAGGGAAGAGAAAGCAAGAGAGCUGGAGAGAGCGGAGAAAGCACCAAGGAAGGGCUUGUCCAUGAAGCUCUAGCAGGGAGGUCCUUCCUUUCAGCCCCCAAGUGUCCCUCUGUGCCUCAUCUAAAAAGCAAAAAAAGAGGAGAACUAGAGCUUAUGGUUGAAGGCGUGAGAAUGAGGUGUCUUUUCCCUCUAUCUCUGUAAUAUACAAGUAUAAAUACUAUAUAUACAUAUGUAUAUGUGUUCCUUUUUUCUGUGUCUGAUUAUGCAUGCAAUUUAGCAAGGAUUUAUUGCCUAAUUUUGGUCUGGGCACUUUGCUAACGCAAUGGGGGAGGAUACCAAGAAGUUAGGGACACAGCCUCAUUGUCCCCAGAGACUUCUUGGGGUGGGCAAGGCAGGGUGUCUGUGCAUACUGCUGGGGGAGCUCUGGAUUAUGGGACAUCAGGAGACAUGACAUUGAGAUUUCCUACUCAGUUCUCUGUACAGAUUGGAUUUCCAUGGAAGAAAGAAAAUCAACAUGUAUUGGGAGUCAACAUCUCAUUCAGUCCUGUGAGUUUAUUCUGCCUAUUUUUCAGACAAGGAGACUAAGGCUUCAAGACAGUAAGUAAAUUGCCCACAGUGUCAUUGCUGGUGUGGGAAUGAGCUUCAGGGUCAUUGAGUCAUGCUGCUGCCCAGGUACCUUGUAAGGCUGUCAAGUGUUGUGGGUAAGGGUUUUGGUGCUGCCGUUCAGGUGAUUGUGAGUUUAAAGCCUGGGCCCACCCACACCAGCAGUGUUAUUUGAAGCAUGCUAUUGAACUUGCCUAAGCUUCCGUUUGCUCAUGGGACAUGGGACAUGGGACAUGGGACAUGGGACAUGCCCAUGUAACAUGGGAACAGUAACAUUGCCUAUCUCAUAAGACUGAUGGGAG
rnacentral:lncRNA from 1 species